rnacentral:rRNA from 1 species
GAUGAACGCUGGCGGCGUGCUUAACACAUGCAAGUCGAACGAAGCACUUUAUUUGAUUUCCUUCGGGACUGAUUAUUUUGUGACUGAGUGGCGGACGGGUGAGUAACGCGUGGGUAACCUGCCUUGUACAGGGGGAUAACAGUUGGAAACGGCUGCUAAUACCGCAUAAGCGCACAGCAUCGCAUGAUGCAGUGUGAAAAACUCCGGUGGUAUAAGAUGGACCCGCGUUGGAUUAGCUAGUUGGUGAGGUAACGGCCCACCAAGGCGACGAUCCAUAGCCGACCUGAGAGGGUGACCGGCCACAUUGGGACUGAGACACGGCCCAAACUCCUACGGGAGGCAGCAGUGGGGAAUAUUGCACAAUGGGCGAAAGCCUGAUGCAGCGACGCCGCGUGAGCGAAGAAGUAUUUCGGUAUGUAAAGCUCUAUAAGCAGGGAAGAUAAUGACGGUACCUGACUAAGAAGCACCGGCUAAAUACGUG